UCCNGGCCCUACGGGGCGCAGCAGGCGCGAAACCUCUGCAAUGCGGGAAACCGUGACAGGGGGAUCCCAAGUGCUCAUGCAUUGCAUGGGCUGUUCUUUGGUCUAAGUAACCAGAGGAGUAAGGGCUGGGCAAGACCGGUGCCAGCCGCCGCGGUAAUACCGGCAGCUCGAGUGGUAGCCGCGAUUAUUGGGCCUAAAGCGUUCGUAGCCGGAUAAGUAAGUCUUUGGUUAAAUCCUGCGACUUAACCGUGGGAAAUCUAGAGAUACUGCUUGUCUUGAGACCGGGAGAGGUUGGAGGUACUCCUAGGGUAGGGGUGAAAUCCUGUAAUCCUAGGGGGACCACCUGUGGCGAAGGCGUCCAACUGGAACGAGUCUGACGGUGAGGGACGAAACCUAGGGGAGCGAGCCGGAUUAGAUACCCGGGUAGUCCUAGGCGUAAAUGAUGCGAGUUAAGUGUGGGGGCAUCUACGAGAUGGCCCUGUGCUGUAGGGUAGCCGUUAAACUCGCCGCCUGGGGAGUACGGUCGCAAGGCUGAAACUUAAAGGAAUUGGCGGGGGAGCACCACAAGAGGUGGAGGCUGCGGUUCAAUUGGAUUCAACGCCGGG
rnacentral:rRNA from 1 species